rnacentral:rRNA from 1 species
CNAUUCGANUGGGCGAAGCCUGACGGANCGACGNCGCGUGGAGGAUGAAGGCCUUCGGGUUGUAAACUCCUUUUCCUGGGGAAGAAUAAAAUCGGUAGUAACUGACCGGUUGAUGACGGUACCCAGGGCAAUAAGCCCCGGCUAAUUACGUGCCAGCAGCCGCGGUAAUACGUAUGGGGCGAGCGUUGUUCGAAUUUACUGGGCGUAAAGGGCUUGUAGGUGGUGGGAUAAGUCGGACGUGAAAUCCCCGGGCUUAACCCGGGAACUGCAUUCGAAACUGUCUCGCUAGAGUACCGGAGAGGGAAACGGAAUUCCUGGUGUAGGGAUGAAAUCUGUAGAUAUCANGAAGAACACCGGUGGCGAANGCGGUUUCCUGGCCGGAUACUGACACUGAGGAGNGAAAGCUAGGGGAGCAAACAGGAUUAGAUACCCUGGUAGUCAUAGCUGUUUCCUGAGCACCGCGA